GGUUGGAUCAUUACCGUAUUUGCUGCCGCCGGUACACAUUUACCAGCGGUCAGUCAAUCCACUCGCCUCGGCGAACCAACCUUGUGUGAAUUGUGAUGUCUCUGGCGGUGGGAUGUGAGGCGGGUGUCCAAGCCAGCCGCAUCUGUCAGCUUGAUGGUCCUCAACCAUGAAGCCGUGGACAUGCCGCCAACCACUUGUGUAAAACAUUUGAACCAAAAAUUGCAGUCUUAUUUCCACACUAUAUGUGAAAUGCACAAACAACUUUUGGCAACGGAUCUCUUGGCUCUCGCAACGAUGAAGAACGCAGCGAAAUGCGAUAAGUAAUGUGAAUUGCAGAACACAGUGAAUCAUCAAAUCUUUGAACGCACAUUGCGCUCCCUGGUAUUCCGGGGAGCAUGCCCGUUUCAGAAUCAUUGAACCAAGUCCCCCGGGCUCUUGUGUCUCUCCUUUUUGAGAUCGAGAUGCCGCUGGGUGGGAGGUUGGGCCCUUUGCGUGGGCAGUCAUGCAAAUUGCCUCAAACUGAUGGCGUGUGUGCCCAGCUCCUGUCGGGGUUGGCUCUCAAGGUGCAACAGACAAUGUUUCACAUUGAAGCUGCCGGGAGGAGGUGGUGCGCGGCGCACAACUCCAAUACUGCUGGGGGUAAAACCCGCAAAACUUGAUCUGAAAUCGGGCAAGAAAACCCGCUGAACUUAAGCAUAUCAAUAAGCGGAGGAAAAGAAACUAACAAGGAUUCCCCUAGUAACGGCGAGUGAAGCGGGAAUAGCUCAAAUUUGAAAUCCCACAGGGUGCCCCUGUGUGAAUUGUAGUUUAGAGAAGCGUUUUCGGGGGUGACUUGGGUACAAGUCCUCUGGAAUGGGCGGCGAACAGCAUCAUAGAGGGUGACAAUCCCGUAUAUGAUCCAACGUUCACUCCUGUGUGAUACGCUUUCCAAGAGUCAGGUAGUUUGGGAUUGCUGCCUAAAAUGGGUGGUAAAUACCAUCUAAAGCUAAAUAUUGGCGAGAUACCGAUAGCGAACAAGUACCGUGAGGGAAAGAUGAAAAGAACUUUGAAAAGAGAGUUAAACAGUACGUGAAAUUGCCAAAAGGGAAACGCUUGGUGUCAGUAUUAGCUUGCAGGUAAUCAGCCGUGCUUCCCGAAAGGGACCGGUGCGGUGCACUUGCGUGCAGGCAAGUCAACAUCAGUUUGGUCUCUGGUAAAAAGCUGGAGGAAGGUAGCUUGGCGUUUCGGCGGCAAGUGUUAUAGCCUCUAGCCAUGCCUGGGACUGGACUGAGGUCUGCAGCGUUCCGUUGGGUUACUGAUCGCCUCUUGAACAUUGCCUCCAGACAGCUCGCUGACUGGGGGCAGGGCUAGGGAGCCCGGUCAGCUCACCACACCAGCGCUUAGGAUGUUGACGAAAUGGCGCCAAACGACCCGUCUUGAAACACGGACCAAGGAGUCUAACAUAUAUGCGAGUAUUUGGGUGGCAAACCCUUAUGCGAAAUGAAAGUGAACUUAGGUGGGAUCUUCGGUGCACCAUCGACCGGUCUGGAUUUUUUUGAUAGAUCUGAGUAAGAGCAUAUCUGUUGGGACCCGAAAGAUGGUGAACUAUGCCUGAAUAGGGUGAAGCCAGAGGAAACUCUGGUGGAGGCUCGUAGCGAUUCUGACGUGCAAAUCGAUCGUCAAAUUUGGGUAUAGGGGCGAAAGACUAAUCGAACCAUCUAGUAGCUGGUUCCCUC
rnacentral:misc_RNA from 1 species